ensembl:lncRNA
CAAUCACAGACUUUGAGCAAGAUUUGGAGACUCUGGACACAUUGCCCAGAAACACCUGGGAAGCCAGAGCAAUAGCAGUUUCUCUGACGGCUUGUGGAGGUCCAGAAACACCCAUUGCACACGCUUUGCAUGCGUCCAUCAGCCGAAUGGUAAUACACAGGAGGUCUGAUGCUUGCAGGCAGAUCAGAUGUACAGCAUGUGCCCUGUGCCUCUCUGCAGGUACAGCUACGUCCAGGUGCUUGAAACACGCUCGGCUCCCAGCCCAUGUACCACACGGCACGUGCCUUUCCAGGGAUUCCCGGCUGGGAUUAUGGCAACCACAUUCCCGUUCCCUCACUCUCUGGAGAUGCCCUUUACAUCUUGAAGCCCACCAGCCGCAGUCCUUGUGGGCUUUUGCCGUGUGAUCUGUGCAAAGAUUCAUGAUAUUGUUAAGAAAAUUCUGCAGGAUAUGGAAUGUGCCUCUGUGGGUGAACACAAAGGGCUCAGCGCAGCUUGGCUCUGCAGUCGGCUUACCCCCAUUUGGAGUGAGAAGUUGCAAUCUGAGGAAGGUGAUAAGCAGGGGAGGGGAGGAUGAUCGCAAGAAAGUCCAUGAGCACAAGGGUAGUGAGCGCUGGCAGGAGCUCAGCACCAAGAAGCUGAUGAGGUCGGGCACUGAGAUGCUAGGACAGCCAGAAACUCCUUUGACCAUAGCAGGCAUGAGCGAGCACCAUUAUUUGGGGAGACUGUGCUUCUCUUCUCCAGCUCGAGUUUGUGAAGCUGGAGCCAAACUUCCUGGGAGCUCCAUAGGCAGAUGGUGCCUCCAGAACAGGGAAACAGGGCGCUGCUGCCUCCAAAGUCACCUGGAUAUCCACAAAGAAGGCAACGUGUAUGUGCCUGCGGGAGCUGAUGCCCUUCCCAGGCUGGAGUCCAGACCCCCAGCACAGCACACUUCCAAGCACCCAGCCCCAUGAGACUUCCAAGAACAUGACUCACACACACUACCCCAAGAGCUCUCUGAAAGGCAACAUGACAUUAACCUUAGAUGAAUGAUAUAUUAAAGCAAAACUCAUGGGGAAUCUGGCUUACAUUGUGGUGUGAUCAAGCUCUGAAACUUUCAUUUUCUUGCAUUUUUACUUAUAUAUAACUAGUCAGUCACAGCCUUGCUAGGUGGCCUGCUCAUGGUAAAAUAUUUAUUCCACCAGAAAGGUUGAAACAUUAUUCUUCCAGUACUUUGGCUGAAGACUACGCAGCACAGUACCUGGGGUUUGUGUGAAAUUUAGUAUUUACAGAGGCUGUAGGAGAGACUGGGACCACCCUGAUUUAGCUCCUUCCUCCAUUCUUUCAUUCUGUAUGACCUACCAAAUUAAUUAAAAAUUUGGGGAGCCCUCCAGUGGCCAAAAUUAUAGUGCCUAAAUUCACCACUGUUAAAGAGGUAUCACAAAAUCUGGUGGUGUCUUAAGUCUUUGCAAAAAUGCAUACACCUACAACUUUUCAAUAUGGAAUUUUUAAAAAGUUACCUUUUUACAGAAAAUAUAUUUUUUAAAAGGUCAGUCCGGUUAAGUACAGUCACUGCAACAGUGGAGAUACUUGGGGAAAAGAUUUCCUAAAAGCUCUUUGUAGAAAAC